CUCAACUUACACAUGCAAGUCUCAGCGCACCUGUGAGGACGCCCUUAUAACCUCCACAGGUCAAGGAGCCGGUAUCAGGCGCAAUUUGCCCAUAACACCUAGUCUCACCACGCCCCCAAGGGUCAGCAGUGAUAAAUCUUGAGAAUAAGCGUCAGCUUAACUCAGUCAGAGAAAAGAGAGUCGGCCAAUCCCGUGCCAGCCGCCGCGGUUACACUGGAGGCUCAAGUUGAUAGAUAUCGGCGUCAAGCGUGAUUAAAGUUCCCUUAUUAGAGUCGAAUUAGCACCAAACAGUUUAAUCCUCGUGUUAAGAAGCCCACAAACGAAAGUUAUUCUAAUUUAUUUACUUGAACUCACGAAAGCUAGGGUACAAACUGGGAUUAGAUACCCCACUAUGCCUAGCCGUAAAUAUUACUUACACAAGAACGCCUGGGUAGUACGAGCUAUGCUUGAAACCCAAAGGACUUGACGGUGCCACACCCCUCUAGAGGAGCCUGUUCUGUAAUCGAUGAUCCCCGCUUCACCCUACCAUUCCUUGCUUAUCAGUCUGUAUACCUCCGUCGUAAGCUCACCCUGUGAAAGACUAUAGUGAGCCCAAUGGUAGCGCCAAAACGUCAGGUCAAGGUGCAACUUACGGAAUGGAAAGUAAUGGGCUACAAUUUCUAAAAUAGAACAAACGAAAGACUAUGUGAAACCUAGUCAUGAAGGCGGAUUUAGUAGUAAAAAGAAAAUAGUGUGUUCUUUUUAACGGCUCUGUGGCGCGUACACACCGCCCGUCACCCUCUUCGACAACUCACAUUUUUCUAACCCAUU
rnacentral:ncRNA from 1 species